GAGAAUUAGCACAAUGGUUAGUGCAGCGGACUGUUAAUCCGCCUAUACAAGUUCGAUUCUUGUAUUCUCC
rnacentral:tRNA from 1 species